GGGCGAUUAGCUCAGCUGGUUAGAGCGCGACACUGAUAAUGUCGAGGUCCGCCGUUCGAGUCGGCGAUCGCCCACCA
rnacentral:tRNA from 1 species